GGGUUGUGAGGUUAAGCGACCAAGCGUACACGGUGGAUGCCCUGGCAGUCAGAGGCGAUGAAGGACGUGCUAAUCUGCGAAAAGCGCCGGUAAGGUGAUAUGAACCGUUAUAACCGGCGAUGUCCGAAUGGGGAAACCCAGUGUGACUCGUCACACUAUCAUUAACUGAAUCCAUAGGUUAAUGAGGCGAACCGGGGGAACUGAAACAUCUAAGUACCCCGAGGAAAAGAAAUCAACCGAGAUUCCCCCAGUAGCGGCGAGCGAACGGGGAGGAGCCCAGAGCCUGAAUCAGCAUGUGUGUUAGUGGAAGCGUCUGGAAAGGCGCGCGAUACAGGGUGACA
rnacentral:rRNA from 1 species